GGAGUUUGUAUAGGGACCAUGUGUUUUUUCAAGAGGGCUUAAUUUUCUUCAUCCACGGCGUAUUUUCAAUUCGGGGUGAUUGAGGACCUUCGUGAAUGGAGUUUGGGCACUGGUUUUGCUUAUUCGCCAACAAAUCGAAGUUAAUGAACUCAAUACGCAAAGAGAGUCGCCUUUUCCUUAAAUGGGACAUGAAGCUAGCGGCUGGGGUCAUAAAGUAGCAUGGGUUUUGACUUUGUGGCCAUUUUGUCAGCCUGAACGAAUGGGAUGUCUCAGAUCUGAAAUAGACUAACAAAGACCAAUGCCAUUUGCGUUUAUCUUCAGUUUUGUCAGGUCAGAACUAUAUUUUACAUUAUUAAAUAAAUCUUUUAAUCAAGAACCUGAAAAGAGAUGGAAAAAUUGUUUUCCUUUUAAAAAUAAUAAUUAUUGGUGGGGCUGGGAAGAAUAAUCACUGUUUUGCUUUUAGUUUCACUUUCUCAUUCCUUUUUCUGCAAAAGAGCUAUCUGUCAUUCACAAUGGCUCCUCCUUAGGAAUUGUUUUCAAGCAAUCCUGCAUGUCAGAGAAGCCAAUCAUAUAUAUAUAUAUGCAAUCCAUGACUGUAUAAACUUUUCUUCCCAUGAAUGGCUUUGCAGAAAUCAAUAGUUAAUGAUUAGGUUGGCUUAUGUUCUGAUUAAGAUUAUUAUUACCAUUGUAGUAAAGAUGAGUAUACUUAGCCUAGAAAUGAAUAUAUGUUUGUUAAAUCUUUUCAUUGU